GUGCACCAGGCGCGAAUACUUUACAAUGUGCGAAAGCACGAUAAGGGAACUCUGAGUGCCUCCUAAGGAGGCUGUUCAGGUGUCUAAAAGCACCUGAAGGAAGGGCUGGGUAAGACCGGUGCCAGCCGCCGCGGUAACACCGGCAGCCCAAGUGGUAGCCACGUUUAUUGGGUCUAAAGCGUCCGUAGCCGGCUGGGUAAGUUCCUUGGGAAAUUUGGCUGCUUAACAGUCAAGCUUUCAGGGAAUACUGCCCGGCUUGGGACCGGGAGAGGUCAGAGGUACACCAGGGGUGGGGGUGAAAUCCAUUAAUCCUUGGGGGACCACCGGUAGCGAAGGCGUCUGACCAGACCGGGUCCGACGGUGAGGGACGAAGGCUAGGGGCGCGAACCGGAUUAGAUA
rnacentral:rRNA from 1 species